CGCGUAGGCGGUUUUUUAAGUCAGAUGUGAAAGCCCGGGGCUCAACCCCGGAAGUGCAUUUGAAACUAAGAGACUUGAGUAUGGGAGAGGGAAGUGGAAUUCCUGGUGUAGCGGUGAAAUGCGUAGAUAUCAGGAGGAACACCGGUGGCGAAGGCGACUUCCUGGACCAAUACUGACGCUGAGGCGCGAAGGCGUGGGGAGCAAACAGGAUUAGAUACCCUGGUAGUC
rnacentral:rRNA from 1 species